GGGUUGUGAGGUUAAGCGACUAAGCGUACACGGUGGAUGCCCUGGCAGUCAGAGGCGAUGAAGGACGUGCUAAUCUGCGAUAAGCGUCGGUAAGGUGAUAUGAACCGUUAUAACCGGCGAUUUCCGAAUGGGGAAACCCAGUGUGAUUCGUCACACUAUCAUUAACUGAAUCCAUAGGUUAAUGAGGCGAACCGGGGGAACUGAAACAUCUAAGUACCCCGAGGAAAAGAAAUCAACCGAGAUUCCCCCAGUAGCGGCGAGCGAACGGGGAGGAGCCCAGAGCCUGAAUCAGUGUGUGUGUUAGUGGAAGCGUCUGGAAAGGCGCGCGAUACAGGGUGACAGCCCCGUACACAAAAAUGCACAUAUUGUGAGCUCGAUGAGUAGGGCGGGACACGUGGUAUCCUGUCUGAAUAUGGGGGGACCAUCCUCCAAGGCUAAAUACUCCUGACUGACCGAUAGUGAACCAGUACCGUGAGGGAAAGGCGAAAAGAACCCCGGCGAGGGGAGUGAAAAAGAACCUGAAACCGUGUACGUACAAGCAGUGGGAGCACGCUUCGGCGUGUGACUGCGUACCUUUUGUAUAAUGGGUCAGCGACUUAUAUUCUGUAGCAAGGUUAACCGAAUAGGGGAGCCGAAGGGAAACCGAGUCUUAACUGGGCGUUAAGUUGCAGGGUAUAGACCCGAAACCCGGUGAUCUAGCCAUGGGCAGGUUGAAGGUUGGGUAACACUAACUGGAGGACCGAACCGACUAAUGUUGAAAAAUUAGCGGAUGACUUGUGGCUGGGGGUGAAAGGCCAAUCAAACCGGGAGAUAGCUGGUUCUCCCCGAAAGCUAUUUAGGUAGCGCCUCGUGAAUUCAUCUCCGGGGGUAGAGCACUGUUUCGGCAAGGGGGUCAUCCCGACUUACCAACCCGAUGCAAACUGCGAAUACCGGAGAAUGUUAUCACGGGAGACACACGGCGGGUGCUAACGUCCGUCGUGAAGAGGGAAACAACCCAGACCGCCAGCUAAGGUCCCAAAGUCAUGGUUAAGUGGGAAACGAUGUGGGAAGGCCCAGACAGCCAGGAUGUUGGCUUAGAAGCAGCCAUCAUUUAAAGAAAGCGUAAUAGCUCACUGGUCGAGUCGGCCUGCGCGGAAGAUGUAACGGGGCUAAACCAUGCACCGAAGCUGCGGCAGCGACGCUUAUGCGUUGUUGGGUAGGGGAGCGUUCUGUAAGCCUGUGAAGGUGUGCUGUGAGGCAUGCUGGAGGUAUCAGAAGUGCGAAUGCUGACAUAAGUAACGAUAAAGCGGGUGAAAAGCCCGCUCGCCGGAAGACCAAGGGUUCCUGUCCAACGUUAAUCGGGGCAGGGUGAGUCGACCCCUAAGGCGAGGCCGAAAGGCGUAGUCGAUGGGAAACAGGUUAAUAUUCCUGUACUUGGUGUUACUGCGAAGGGGGGACGGAGAAGGCUAUGUUGGCCGGGCGACGGUUGUCCCGGUUUAAGCGUGUAGGCUGGUUUUCCAGGCAAAUCCGGAAAAUCAAGGCUGAGGCGUGAUGACGAGGCACUACGGUGCUGAAGCGACAAAUGCCCUGCUUCCAGGAAAAGCCUCUAAGCAUCAGGUAACAUCAAAUCGUACCCCAAACCGACACAGGUGGUCAGGUAGAGAAUACCAAGGCGCUUGAGAGAACUCGGGUGAAGGAACUAGGCAAAAUGGUGCCGUAACUUCGGGAGAAGGCACGCUGAUAUGUAGGUGAAGCGACUUGCUCGUGGAGCUGAAAUCAGUCGAAGAUACCAGCUGGCUGCAACUGUUUAUUAAAAACACAGCACUGUGCAAACACGAAAGUGGACGUAUACGGUGUGACGCCUGCCCGGUGCCGGAAGGUUAAUUGAUGGGGUUAGCGGUAACGCGAAGCUCUUGAUCGAAGCCCCGGUAAACGGCGGCCGUAACUAUAACGGUCCUAAGGUAGCGAAAUUCCUUGUCGGGUAAGUUCCGACCUGCACGAAUGGCGUAAUGAUGGCCAGGCUGUCUCCACCCGAGACUCAGUGAAAUUGAACUCGCUGUGAAGAUGCAGUGUACCCGCGGCAAGACGGAAAGACCCCGUGAACCUUUACUAUAGCUUGACACUGAACAUUGAGCCUUGAUGUGUAGGAUAGGUGGGAGGCUUUGAAGUGUGGACGCCAGUCUGCAUGGAGCCGACCUUGAAAUACCACCCUUUAAUGUUUGAUGUUCUAACGUUGGCCCGUAAUCCGGGUUGCGGACAGUGUCUGGUGGGUAGUUUGACUGGGGCGGUCUCCUCCUAAAGAGUAACGGAGGAGCACGAAGGUUGGCUAAUCCUGGUCGGACAUCAGGAGGUUAGUGCAAUGGCAUAAGCCAGCUUGACUGCGAGCGUGACGGCGCGAGCAGGUGCGAAAGCAGGUCAUAGUGAUCCGGUGGUUCUGAAUGGAAGGGCCAUCGCUCAACGGAUAAAAGGUACUCCGGGGAUAACAGGCUGAUACCGCCCAAGAGUUCAUAUCGACGGCGGUGUUUGGCACCUCGAUGUCGGCUCAUCACAUCCUGGGGCUGAAGUAGGUCCCAAGGGUAUGGCUGUUCGCCAUUUAAAGUGGUACGCGAGCUGGGUUUAGAACGUCGUGAGACAGUUCGGUCCCUAUCUGCCGUGGGCGCUGGAGAACUGAGGGGGGCUGCUCCUAGUACGAGAGGACCGGAGUGGACGCAUCACUGGUGUUCGGGUUGUCAUGCCAAUGGCACUGCCCGGUAGCUAAAUGCGGAAGAGAUAAGUGCUGAAAGCAUCUAAGCACGAAACUUGCCCCGAGAUGAGUUCUCCCUGACCCUUUAAGGGUCCUGAAGGAACGUUGAAGACGACGACGUUGAUAGGCCGGGUGUGUAAGCGCAGCGAUGCGUUGAGCUAACCGGUACUAAUGAACCGUGAGGCUUAACCUUACAACGCCGAAGGUGUUU
rnacentral:rRNA from 1 species